rnacentral:rRNA from 1 species
GAUCAACGCUGGCGGCGUGCUUAACACAUGCAAGUCGAACGAAGUUUUUCCUUCGGGAGAAACUUAGUGGCGGACGGGUGAGUAACGCGUGGGUAACCUGCCCUGUACAGGGGGACAACAGCUGGAAACGGCUGCUAAUACCGCAUAAGCACUUAGCACUGCAUGGUGCAUAGGGAAAAGGAGCAAUCCGGUACAGGAUGGACCCGCGUCUGAUUAGCCAGUUGGCAGGGUAACGGCCUACCAAAGCGACGAUCAGUAGCCGAUCUGAGAGGAUGUACGGCCACAUUGGGACUGAGACACGGCCCAGACUCCUACGGGAGGCAGCAGUGGGGAAUAUUGCACAAUGGAGGAAACUCUGAUGCAGCGACGCCGCGUGAGUGAAGAAGUAUUUCGGUAUGUAAAGCUCUAUCAGCAGGGAAGAAAAUGACGGUACCUGACUAAGAAGCACCGGCUAAAUACGUG